rnacentral:miRNA from 1 species
AGAAGGGAGAGAGAGAGAGAGAGAGAGAGAGAGAGAGAGAGAGAGAGAGAGAGAGAUGUAUCAAAUGCUAUGGGCUAUGGCAACCCAUUCACUGAGCUGUAAUGAUGAUGGGGCGCAUGUGGGUUGGACUCAGAACUCCCUGCUCCUCAUUCUCUCUCUCUCUCUCUCUCUCUCUCUCUCUCUCUCUCUCUCUCUCUCUCUUGUG